UACGUAGGGUCCGAGCGUUUGUCCGGAAUUAUUGGGCGUAAAGGGCUCAUAGGCGGUUUGUCGCGUCGGGAGUGAAAACACGGGGCUUAACCCCGUGCCUGCUUCCGAUACGGGCAGACUAGAGGUAUGCAGGGGAGAACGGAAUUCCUGGUGUAGCGGUGAAAUGCGCAGAUAUCAGGAGGAACACCGGUGGCGAAGGCGGUUCUCUGGGCAUUACCUGACGCUGAGGAGCGAAAGUGUGGGGAGCGAACAGG
rnacentral:rRNA from 1 species